AAAAAUUCGGAAUAUUUUUGAUCGUUAACAUUAUUAUUUUGAAAUCGAUACCGCAGGGGGUAAUUAAGUAUGCCAAGCAUUUAAAUUUAAAUCGCACAGUGUGUCUGGGCUACCUAUGAUUAUAUUUCCUACAUACAAUUAACACAACUUUUACAACACUCUCCCCCCUUUGAUUCGCUACGAAUCAAUCCUACGCAUUUUCCAUUUACAGUCCAGUGCCACCGCUCGCUUAGGAUUAUCGUGUGGGAAUGUCGCUCUUACUUACGAGCGUUUUCUUAACCUCUUCAUUUUUCUCGAGGGUGGCUCUUAUUUCUAGAGGGUUUAGUUUUUGAAUUGGUCUUGAAAUGCGUAAACGUUUACCUUUCGUAAUUACCCUAACUUCUGCACCUCUAAUUAUCUCAUCUUUACCUUUAAUCGUUCGACAACCGCUGUUUUCCACUGUGCUCCUUUCAUAUUCUCUUAAAAAACGCUACUCUUGGCUUUGUGAAACUCUCUAAGAUCUGUUAAGUAUUCCUUUCUCCAUCUAUUCCAAAAGUGCACUAACCUAAGCGUCAAAUGUCUAAAUCUUUUGCUACAAUUAGUCUCAUUCUCAGCUGCUUCCUCUAUGUUCCAUUCUGGCAAGGACUUUAAACGCCUGCUAUGAAUUAAAUGUGAUGGAGUUAAAACGUCCUCGUAUAGUUCCUCGUACGUAUACGUACGUCAAAUCGUCAAUGGUCUGGAAUUUGGAGUGCCUUCAACCUCUAUCACAGCAGUCAGUAAUUCGUUAUAGGUCGGUUUUGCAUUGCCUAGUACCUUUUUUAAACAUGCCUUCACGCAUCCCACAUGGCGUUCGAAAAAUCCUCCCCACCAGGGAGCGCGUUCCAGGUUGAAACGCCAUUCUGUUUUCGUACGUUCGAGUUCGCUCCUAACUUCAGGAUGGUUAAACAACUGUUUUAGAGCCUUCUGUGUUGCACGAAAGUGUCUUAGCAUUGUCUGAAACUAUCAGGGCCGGAGUUCCGCAUCUACUCGAAAAACGCCUAAGUGCUCGUCUAAAUGUUUGUGAUGUCAAAUCUUCAACUAAUUCCAGAUGUACCGCACGUGUCAUGCACGCAACAAGAGAAAAGGGCAAUGUAAGCCUUUUUCGAUUCUUCUAUGUUACUCUUAACAAAUAAUGGUCCGGCAAAAUCAACUCCAACUUUUUCAGGAAAACGGGAGACUUUCACCUACUCGAAACCGGUAAGGCCGCCAUAGGUGGGGCCGUAUAAGACUUUCCUGCAACCUUCUUACAUAUGACACACUUAUGAAUUAUUUUCUUAACAAUCUGCCUCGCUCUUGGUACCCAGUACCUUGAACGCAAUUCGGCUAACGACCCUCUAAGUCCAUUGUGGUGAACUCUAGUAUGACAAUCUUCAAUAACUAAAUUAGUAAACCUGUGUUCUCUAGGCAAAAUUAAAGGUCUACGAGCAAAAUCACUUAAAUCUUAAUUUUCAAGUCUUCCUACGCACCUAAGCAUGCCAUUUUCAUCUUCAACGAGACGCCUGCUCAGGCGUUCACACUGACCUGAAAAUGACGACAUACGUGCUAUGGUGCAAUAGACAAGAAUACAAGUCGUAAACCGCAAGCAAAUUGUAUGGAAAAACUAAAAGACCUUUUUGGGAGACCUAUGGUGCAAAUCUACAACUAGGAGUUACUAUCGCAAGGAAAGUGCUGCCGUUUUGCCACAUCAACUGAAUGCAAAAGUUAAUUUGUAUUUCUAAACAAUUCUCUAAAAGGAAGUUUACUUUUGACCCAAUGGCUUAAUUUUC
rnacentral:lncRNA from 1 species